CAGCAGCCGCGGUAAUACGAAGGUCCCGAGCGUUGUUCGGAAUCACUGGGCGUAAAGGGAGCGUAGGCGGCGUGGUAAGUCAGAUGUGAAAUCCCGGGGCUCAACCCCGGAACUGCAUCCGAUACUGCCAUGCUAGAGGAUUGGAGAGGUAGCUGGAAUUCUUGGUGUAGCAGUGAAAUGCGUGGAGAUCAAGAGGAACACUCGUGGCGAAAGCGAGCUACUGGACGAUAACUGACGCUGAGGCUCGAAGGCCAGGGUAGCGAAAGGGAUUAGAGACCCCUGUAGUCCCUGUCUCUUAUAC
rnacentral:rRNA from 1 species